GGCAGGCAGCUUGUUAGAAAGGCAGAUUCUUGAACCCACCCCUGAGGUGCUGAUUCAGAGGAGUCUGCAUUUUUAGCAAGCCCACCCAGCCUCAGAAAUCCAGAGGCAGUGAGGGAACCUCAUUUUGAGACAUAAUGGCCUGAUUGGAAAUAAGGCCCACACGAGGAAACAAAAGUCAGAGCUCUGGGCGCCUGGCUGGAAACUGGUCCAGGGUCCUGUGGGACACACAGAAAGCCAAGGUCAGCUGAACCUGGGAGUCUUCACAGAGCUGGUGAUGCUGGCGUUGAGCAGGAAUUCCCCAGGUGAGCCUGAAGAGCAGUUUGUCCCCAUAAAGGGUCAUUUUUAACAGGCACCAGUGGUGCGGCUGACAGUCCCCACCAGGGAGAUAAUCAGCGUCUGCUUUUUGGUUGGGAAAACAAGCGUAUAAAUAACUUUGAAUUGCCUCCUCUAUUCCAAAUGACUCUCUGCUUGCUGACCCCCAACCUCAAGGCCCAACCCCCCAGCCUCUCGCACCCCAGUCUUCUUCCCCCCAGCACGCCGCUCAUUCCCACCUCAGGGCCUUUGCCCUCACUGCUGCCCCUGCCUGACACCCCCUUCCUCCUGAGGUCACGUGAUCAGCUCCUUCACAGGGGCUCAAAAGUGCAGCCUCCUCCCACCACUGGCCUCAGCCACCCCCAGGCCACGCUGCCCAGCUGCUGUCCUCAACUUCUUCCGCAGCAGUGAAUGGCAGGAGGUUCCUCACAUGUUAGGUUCCAUGUCUGUGACCCCCACUGGCCUCAGAGGACGCUGUGCGCAGGCAGGACGUGGUUGCCGGAGGGGCCUCAUCCUGAACUCGAGGAACAGAGGACAGGCCAGGAAAAGACAGAUGAAGUUCAUAAGCUGAGACCCAGCACUCCAGGCAGGCCCACCCAAUUCCGUGAAACUCUGGAAUCCCAAGAGGAUCCCCACAGAGCCUCCUCUCGAAACGCCAGAGUAACCAAAGUUUCCAACAGAGAAUGCGGCGGUCUUGGUGCGACACCGCCAUCUGCUGGCUGUGUCCGAGAACUGCAGCUCUGGCUUGACCACUUAAGAGUGCCUGCAGUGGACUCCGGGACCCUGCCUUCCACGAGUGUACAAUAAGAGCAGAGACAGACAACAAAUAAGAAAUCAAACGAGUAAGCGAGGUAAUUCCAGAUGGGCACAAGUUUUCAGCAAGAAAUAAACAGCUUUCUGUGACAGA